rnacentral:miRNA from 1 species
UGUGGGUUUUCCAGUCUGUAUG